UACGUAGGGGGCAAGCGUUGUCCGGAAUCAUUGGGCGUAAAGAGCGUGUAGGCGGCCAGAUAAGUCCGCUGUAGAAUCUCGAGGCUCAACUUCGAGCUGUCGGUGGAAACUGUCUGGCUAGAGUCCGGAAGAGGAGAAUGGAAUUCCUGGUGUAGCGGUGAAAUGCGCAGAUAUCAGGAAGAACACCCGUGGCGAAGGCGGUUCUCUGGGACGGUACUGACGCUGAGACGCGAAAGCGUGGGGAGCGAACAGG
rnacentral:rRNA from 1 species